AUUGAACGCUGGCGGCAGGCCUAACACAUGCAAGUCGAGCGGAUGAGUGGAGCUUGCUCCAUGAUUCAGCGGCGGACGGGUGAGUAAUGCCUAGGAAUCUGCCUGGUAGUGGGGGACAACGUUUCGAAAGGAACGCUAAUACCGCAUACGUCCUACGGGAGAAAGUGGGGGAUCUUCGGACCUCACGCUAUCAGAUGAGCCUAGGUCGGAUUAGCUAGUUGGUGAGGUAAAGGCUCACCAAGGCGACGAUCCGUAACUGGUCUGAGAGGAUGAUCAGUCACACUGGAACUGAGACACGGUCCAGACUCCUACGGGAGGCAGCAGUGGGGAAUAUUGGACAAUGGGCGAAAGCCUGAUCCAGCCAUGCCGCGUGUGUGAAGAAGGUCUUCGGGUUGUAAAGCUCUUUCGGACGGAAAGAAAUCGCCGCCUCUAACAUAGGCGGUGGAUGACGGUACCGUAAGAAGAAGCACCGGCUAACUACGUGCC
rnacentral:rRNA from 1 species